AAUGGGGUUGGAGAUGCCCUAAAUGAAGUGGGGUUGGAGAGGAUUUUACUCCAAAAUGAUGUUUGAAGUAGAAAAUGGAGUAGGGUCGGAGAUGCCCUAAGUAAGAAAUAGUAAGAUAAUGCAAAGCAAUAAACAUGACCCAGAAAUUAAAACAUGGCUAACGAACUUUCAAAUUUCCCCCAAGACUACCAAACUUGCAAGACCCGUUAAGUCGUUCAUAGCUCGUUGCCUACAUUUUUGUCUUCUUCUUCUUCAGCUUUUAUUAUCUAUCACUGGUUUACCAAAAGUGCAAGACCCGUUAAAAAGUCUCCUUCUCUCUCUCUCUCCCUACAUUAAAUUUUUUUUUUUUUUUGACAAAUACAUUAAAUUUUAUUUUGUUCUUUAGCUUUUAAUAUUAUCUACCAUAGGUUCAACUUUCUCUUAUCUUCAUCUCUCUGGUCUAUAUAAAAUGCGGGCAUGAGUCACACUGAUGAGUAAACUAAGAGGAAAUAUUAAGAUGGCAUCUUCUAUAGUGUCCAAAGGAUUUUUUGAGCGUUCCAGUUUCUCGUCCAUGCUUCUCUUUCUCUCUCUUCUUCUUGUGUUUCCCCAUAUCAGUACACAAAUGGAAUUCCGGAAACUUAAGGAGACGUACCAUCCACAUCAAGUGACGGUCCACAGGCGCGUUAGUAUUCCUCGGAAUUAUCGUUCGCCAAGAGUACCGAGCUCAUCAUGUCGCUUCUGUAAGCGUCAUUUCGAUGACCCUUCUCCGCCAACCGAAACGUAUGUUCCUCGUCGUCCCUUUACAAGGCCAAAAGGCCCUCAGAAAUUUCUGCCUCGUCGUCCCAUAACAAUGCCAAAAUGCCUAAAAUUAUUUCCCGCAUGUACACCUCAAAUAAUUGAUAGAACGCCUCCUCCGCCGCCCCCAGGAGCUUUUGAAAGCACAUAUGGACUUGGUCACUGAGCACGCAUUAGCUUCGAAUGCGUCUAAAAUAUAUAUGUGCACGUUUCUUAUGUUAUAUUUUAUUUUUUGGUUCCUGUGGUACGUUAUCCAUAUGCUGGUAUUUCUCAUAUUUUACGGAUAUAUCGAAUGCAAUUAUAUAUGAUAUUUCUGUUCAGCA